rnacentral:rRNA from 1 species
GAAAGUAAGCAAGGGCAGACGGUGGAUGCCUUGGCUCUCGGAGGCGAUGAAGGACGUGAUAAGCUGCGAUAAGCUUGGGGUAGGUGCAAAUAACCUUUGAUCCCAAGAUUUCCGAAUGGGGCAACCCGGCUGGUAGAAGGCCAGUCAUUCCGUAAGGAAGGCGAACGUGGGGAACUGAAACAUCUAAGUACCCAUAGGAGAAGAAAACAAAAGUGAUUCCGCAAGUAGUGGCGAGCGAACGCGGAACAGCCCAAACCGAUGAUGUUUAGGCAUUGUCGGGGUAGUAGGACCACGUUGUGGCAAGAGAUUAAGGAAGUAGAACGUUUUGGAACAAACGGCCGUAGACGGUGAAAGCCCAGUAUACGACUCUUUAACGAAGCCUAGUGGAAUCCUGAGUAGCGCGGAGCACGAGAAAUUCUGUGUGAAUCAGCGGGGCCCAUCCCGUAAGGCUAAAUACUCCCGAGAGACCGAUAGCGAACCAGUACUGUGAAGGAAAGGUGAAAAGCACCUCGAACAGAGGAGUGAAAUAGUCCCUGAAACCGUCUGCCUACAAGCGGUCGGAGCAACGUAAGUUGUGACGGCGUGCCUUUUGCAUAAUGAACCUACGAGUUACUUUCUCCGGCAAGGUUAAGGGCUUCAGGCCCGGAGCCGAAGCGAAAGCGAGUCUUAAUAGGGCGUGAUAGUCGGAGUGAGUAGACGCGAAACCAAGUGAUCUACCCUUGGUCAGGAUGAAGGUUGGGUAACACCAACUGGAGGUCCGAAUGGGUAUACGUUGAAAAGUGUUCCAAUGAACUGAGGGUAGGGGUGAAAGGCUAAUCAAACUUGGAGAUAGCUCGUACUCCCCGAAAUGCAUUUAGGUGCAGCCUUUAUUUAGUAUAGCAUGAGGUAGAGCGACUGAUUGGAUGCGAGGGCUUCACCGCCUAUCAAGUCCAGAUAAACUCCGAAUGCGUGCUAUAUAUUGAUAAGGAGUGAGGGCGCGGGUGCUAAGGUCCGCGUCCGAGAGGAGAAGAAUCCAGACCAUCAGCUAAGGUCCCCAAAUAACAGUUAAGUUGAACUAACGAAGUCGGACUGCAGAGACAGCUAGGAUGUUGGCUUGGAAGCAGCCAUUCAUUUAAAGAGUGCGUAACAGCUCACUAGUCGAGGAGUCCGGCGUGGAUAAUACUCGGGCAUAAACUGUUUACCGAAGCUAUGGAUGUAGAAAUACAUGGUAGGGGAGCAUUCCAACGGCGUCGAAGGUGAAGGAUGACCUUUGCUGGAGCUUUUGGAAACGCAAAUGUAGGUAUAAGUAACGAUAAAGGAGGUGAGAAACCUCCUCGCCGAAAGACUAAGGUUUCCUGAUCAACGUUAAUCGGAUCAGGGUAAGUCGGGACCUAAGGUUAAGCCGAACGGCGAUACCGAUGGAAGAAUGGUUUAAUAUUCCCAUACUACUUUAUGGAGCGAUGUGGAGACGGAGAAGUGAAAGUCCUGCCAUCUGACGGAAUAGGUGGUUGAAGAGUGUAGAUGUAGAUUCCUGUAGGCAAAUCCGCAGGGAGAGUCGACCUUGAUAGUAUGCCGCGUGCUUGCACAAGGCAAAAUGGACGUAAUCAGGCUCCCAAGAAAAUCCGCUAAGCAUAUUCAUAAAGUACCCGUACCGUAAACGGACACACGUAGUUGGGUUGAAAAUACUGAGGCGCUCGAGUGAUUCACGGUUAAGGAACUAGGCAAAUUGACCCUGUAACUUCGGGAUAAAGGGUCCCUACUGAGAGGUAGGGCGCAGAGAAUAGGUCCAGGCAACUGUUUAACAAAAACACAUGGCUGUGCGAAAUAGAAAUAUGAAGUAUACAGCCUGACACCUGCCCGGUGCUGGAAGGUUAAGAGGAGAGCUCAUCGCAAGAGAAGGCUUGAAUUGAAGCCCCAGUAAACGGCGGCCGUAACUAUAACGGUCCUAAGGUAGCGAAAUUCCUUGUCGG